UGGGGUGACUGCGUACCUUUUGUAUAAUGGGUCAGCGACUUAUAUUCUGUAGCAAGGUUAACCGUAUAGGGGAGCCGGAGGGAAACCGAGUCUUAAUUGGGCGUUAAGUUGCAGGGUAUAGACCCGAAACCCGGUGAUCUAGCCAUGGGCAGGUUGAAGGUUGGGUAACACUAACUGGAGGACCGAACCGACUAAUGUUGAAAAAUUAGCGGAUGACCUGUGGCUGGGGGUGAAAGGCCAAUCAAACCGGGAGAUAGCUGGUUCUCCCCGAAAGCUAUUUAGGUAGCGCCUCGUGAAUUCAUCUCCGGGGGUAGAGCACUGUUUCGGCUAGGGGGCCAUCCCGGCUUACCAACCCGAUGCAAACUGCGAAUACCGGAGAAUGUUAUCACGGGAGACACACGGCGGGUGCUAACGUCCGUCGUGAAGAGGGAAACAACCCAGACCGCCAGCUAAGGUCCCAAAGUCAUGGUUAAGUGGGAAACGAUGUGGGAAGGCCCAGACAGCCAGGAUGUUGGCUUAGAAGCAGCCAUCAUUUAAAGAAAGCGUAAUAGCUCACUGGUCGAGUCGGCCUGCGCGGAAGAUGUAACGGGGCUAAACCAUGCACCGAAGCUGCGGCAGCGAACGUAUCACCCAAGACAACUUUACGGAGUUGACGAUUGACGGAGCGAAGCGACGUCAAAGCGUUCAUUAAAGUCGAGUUGGCUUAGGGAUACGUUCGUUGGGUAGGGGAGCGUUCUGUAAGCCUGUGAAGGUGUGUCGUGAGGCAUGCUGGAGGUAUCAGAAGUGCGAAUGCUGACAUAAGUAACGAUAAAGCGGGUGAAAAGCCCGCUCGCCGGAAGACCAAGGGUUCCUGUCCAACGUUAAUCGGGGCAGGGUGAGUCGACCCCUAAGGCGAGGCCGAAAGGCGUAGUCGAUGGGAAACGGGUUAAUAUUCCCGUACUUGGUGUUACUGCGAAGGGGGGACGGAGAAGGCUAUGUUGGCCGGGCGACGGUUGUCCCGGUUUAAGCGUGUAGGUGUGUGUUCCAGGUAAAUCCGGUUCACUUUAACACUGAGGCGUGACGACGAGGCACUACGGUGCUGAAGCAACAAAUGCCCUGCUUCCAGGAAAAGCCUCUAAGCAUCAGGUAACACGAAAUCGUACCCCAAACCGACACAGGUGGUCAGGUAGAGAAUACCAAGGCGCUUGAGAGAACUCGGGUGAAGGAACUAGGCAAAAUGGUGCCGUAACUUCGGGAGAAGGCACGCUGACACGUAGGUGAAGUGAUUUACUCAUGGAGCUGAAGUCAGUCGAAGAUACCAGCUGGCUGCAACUGUUUAUUAAAAACACAGCACUGUGCAAACACGAAAGUGGACGUAUACGGUGUGACGCCUGCCCGGUGCCGGAA
rnacentral:rRNA from 1 species